rnacentral:rRNA from 1 species
GAUGAACGCUGGCGGCGUGCCUAAUACAUGCGAGUCGAACGCUGGAGCUCUAGCUUGCUAGAUCGAAGGAGUGGCGAACGGGUGAGUAAUACAUAAGCAACCUACCCACGAAGACUGGGAUAAUCUCUGGAAACGGGGACUAAUACCGGAUAGGUAAUCGGAAGGCAUCUUCUGGUUAUUAAAGGUUAAAAACACUGGUGGAUGGGCUUAUGGCGCAUUAGUUAGUUGGUGAGGUAACGGCCCACCAAGACGAUGAUGCGUAGCCGGCCUGAGAGGGUGAACGGCCACAUUGGGACUGAGACACGGCCCAGACUCCUACGGGAGGCAGCAGUAGGGAAUUUUCGGCAAUGGGGGCAACCCUGACCGAGCAACGCCGCGUGAGUGAAGACGGCCUUCGGGUUGUAAAGCUCUGUUGUAAGGGAAGAACGGUAGAUAGAGAAUAUCUAAGUGACGGUACCUUACCAGAAAGCCACGGCUAACUACGUG